CUUAUACUCCCUCCGUUCGAAAUUAUUUGUCUCGAAAAUGGAUGUAUCUAGAACUAAAAUACGUCUAGAUACAUCUAUUUCCGCGACAAGUAAUUCCGAACAGAGGGAGUAUCUU
rfam:Triticum aestivum genome assembly, contig: Triticum_aestivum_CS42_TGACv1_scaffold_720198_T_2DL-0.048116_5DL-0.026633